UGAUCUGUCCGUAAGAGUUUGUUUGAACGAG
rnacentral:piRNA from 1 species